GAAGUCAUACAGUAUGUCAUCAAAAUUCGGUUUCCUACAUAGAUUACGCUCAAUAGCAAGUAUUGCUGAAUUGUUCCAUCUAUCUUCGUUUGCUCCAAUCAAGCGACGAAAGAAGUUCUAUCGGCCCACAGCGGACGAAAUUUUUGUAAGUCAUAUCCGACAACAGCAGAAAAUUAUCACCACCUGCUUCCGGCUUCAUGCCCCGAACAUGUUUUACGAUCACACAACUUACAUACCAUAAGCGCAAGGAGCAUGAACAUUCGAUACCAACAGCUCUGUAGCAGGAAGUCGAUGAACAAAAGAACAUUGGAUCAAAAACAAUAGGCAUAUAAAUAUAAGUUUUCAGUACCA
rnacentral:sRNA from 1 species